rnacentral:rRNA from 1 species
UGAGGAAUAUUGGUCAAUGGGCGCAAGCCUGAACCAGCCAUCCCGCGUGCAGGAAGACGGCCCUAUGGGUUGUAAACUGCUUUUCCAGGGGGAGAAUUUUUCUGUCGUGACAGGAAUUGACGGUACCCUGGGAAUAAGCAUCGGCUAACUCCGUGCCAGCAGCCGCGGUAAUACGGAGGAUGCGAGCGUUAUCCGGAUUUAUUGGGUUUAAAGGGUGCGUAGGCGGAUUGAUAAGUCAGUGGUGAAAACCUGCAGCUUAACUGGAGACUUGCCGUUGAUACUGUCAGUCUUGAGUGUGGUCAAGGUAGGCGGAAUGUGUAAUGUAGCGGUUAAAUGCUUAGAUAUUACACAGAACACCGAUUGCGAAGGCAGCUUACUGGGCGAUUACUGGCGCUGAUGCACGAAAGCGUGGGGAUCGAACAG